AGCGAGAGCGGCGCCAUGGAGGCCACUGGGGUGCUGCCGUUCGUGCGUGGAGUGGACCUCAGCGGCAACGACUUCAAGGGCGGCUACUUCCCUGAGAAUGUCAAGGCCAUGACCAGCCUGCGAUGGCUGAAGCUGAACCGCACUGGCCUCUGCUACCUGCCCGAGGAGCUGGCCGCCCUGCAGAAGCUGGUAAGGGGCUUUGGGCAGGCAGGGGAGGGUCCCUGUGGAUGAACCAGGUGGGCAGAGCCUGUGGAGAAGGCAGACAACUUCUCCAGAGAGAGGAAGAACACCGACAGCUGUGAGCACAGCUGGAAGAAAGGGAGUGGGCACCCUGUCCAGGGAGGUAUGCAAGAAGAGGCCGGGUGUGUGAGGGAGGGAAGCUGCCAGGGGUAGCUGGGCCAGUGUGGCUGAGGCCUUCCUGGAUGAUGCAGAGUUGUGGAGGCAGGCAGGGACUCUGGACACCCCACCCACCCUGCUGAGCCUGUGCUCCCCAUUCCGGCCCAGGAACACUUGUCUGUGAGCCACAACAACCUGACCACGCUUCACGGGGAGCUGUCCAGCCUGCCAUCGCUGCGCG
rnacentral:sRNA from 1 species